GGGGGGAGCAAGCGUUGUUCGGAUUUACUGGGCGUAAAGGGCGCGUAGGCGGCGCAACAAGUCACUUGUGAAAUCUCCGGGCUUAACUCGGAGCGGCCAAGUGAUACUGUCGUGCUAGAGUGCGGAAGGGGCAACUGGAAUUCUCGGUGUAGCGGUGAAAUGCGUAGAUAUCGAGAGGAACACCUGCGGCGAAGGCGGGUUGCUGGGCCGACACUGACGCUGAGGCGCGAAAGCCAGGGGAGCGAACGGGAUUAGAUACCCCGGUAGUCCUGGCCUUAAACGAUGGAUGCUUGGUGUCCGAGGUUACAUAGUCCUCGGGUGCCGUCGCUAACGCCUUAAGCAUCCCGCCUGGGGAGUACGCACGCAAGUGUGAA
rnacentral:rRNA from 1 species